CCUAAAGCAGACUUUGUAAUGGAUUACAGAGACUGCUGAGCGGCGUGUUGCAGCAAACAUGGAGAAAAAUAUCGGGUCUCUUCAGGAACAAGCCCUGAAGCGAAAAGAGAGAUUGAAAGCCUUGAGGGAUAAAAAACUUCACCAGGGGCGAGAGGAGGAAGAUGGCGAGCCAGAGCGUAAGAAAGCUCAUUCGGAAGAGGAGACGCCAGAGAAGAAACACAAGGAUCUGAAGCUGAGAAACUACACUCCAGAGGAUGAAGAGCUAAAGGAGAGGCAGGUCCCCAAAGCCAAACCCGCGUCAGUGGAGGAUAAAGUCAAAGACCAGUUAAAGGCAGCCAAUCCAGAGCCCAUCAUUGAAGAAGUGGAUUUGGCAAACCUGGCCCCAAGGAAACCAGACUGGGAUCUCAAGCGGGACGUGGCAAAGAAAUUGGAGAAGCUGUCAAGGAGAACACAAAGGGCCAUUGCUGAACUCAUCCGCGAUCGUUUGCGAGGCAGCGAGGAGGAGCUCGCCGGAGUGGUGGGAGCGGUCCAAACAGAACAGGAAGACUCUGACUGAUUUGAAGAUACGGGAGAAGAAAAGCCGUUCUGGAAAAUGCGGAUAAAGCAAGGAGAAACGGAGAACUGUGGCUCAAAGAAGGAUAGAAUCAUACGUGGUGGAGGCAAACGUUGCUUUGGCACUCGGAGUGGAGGUAUAAAUAUUCCUGCAUGCGCUCAAUGACGGCAAAAGGUGCUCAACUGUCAGCGCGGAUGACGUUGGGACCUCGACAGAUUUAGUUAGCCCUUGAGCAGGAUAGCUGCGGGGGUCGCCAUCGUGAGGUGU